rnacentral:rRNA from 1 species
AAGCAGCUUGCUGCUUUGCUGACGAGUGGCGGACGGGUGAGUAAUGUCUGGGAAACUGCCNGAUGGAGGGGGAUAACUACUGGAAACGGUAGCUAAUACCGCAUAACGUCGCAAGACCAAAGAGGGGGACCUUCGGGCCUCUUGCCAUCGGAUGUGCCCAGAUGGGAUUAGCUAGUAGGUGGGGUAAAGGCUCACCUAGGCGACGAUCCCUAGCUGGUCUGAGAGGAUGACCAGCCACACUGGAACUGAGACACGGUCCAGACUCCUACGGGAGGCAGCAGUGGGGAAUAUUGCACAAUGGGCGCAAGCCUGAUGCAGCCAUGCCGCGUGUAUGAAGAAGGCCUUCGGGUUGUAAAGUACUUUCAGCGGGGAGGAAGGGAGUAAAGUUAAUACCUUUGCUCAUUGACGUUACCCGCAGAAGAAGCACCGGCUAACUCCGUGCCAGCAG